rnacentral:tRNA from 1 species
AGGGGCAUAGCUCAGUGGUAGAGUACAUGCCCAGCACACCUGAGGUCCUGGGUUCAAUCCCCAGUACCUCCA